UCACAUUAGCGCCAUUUUCAGAGAGCUGCCUGCUCCCCAUGCUAAAGGUGUCACAUUUCUCUGGAAAUACCAAACUCUGCAGCAUAAGUGAAAGAGAUGGAUAUUAAGCCACAAURGAUACUACAAGAUCACUUUUUGCAGAAAGCAAGCACAGAUAAAAGUUGCCUGAUUAGUUCUAGCAUGCAAAUUUCCAGACAACUAAAACUCCGCAUGCAAGCAGCUGUAUUUCAGACAAGUAAGAAGGUUAUCGUCAGUUCUCGCAUCUGACGGCACUUCCUAUUCAGGGGUAUCAUCAUCAACAGCCAACAACUCUCGUAUUUGAUUACUCGGUUCAAGACUAAACAAUGAAUGUGUCUCAACAGUAGAUUUUCCCCUUUGUUUAUACAAGGCCUUAGCUCUGUAAGUUAAUGGUACGUAAAAUUAGUUUUAAGCUGAUGUAAUUAUCACAGGAUUCUUUUCUUCUAUUUAAAGMCCUGUUUUUAACUACUUUAUAACUUGAGUAAGUAAAGGCCUGGAACUUUCUUAAUAACUUUGUGCAGCUUAGUACAAAAUAAAGUUUAACUUACUCUUUACUUCAAGACACCAUUUUGCUGGGGAUGAAAAAAAACAAAACAUUACUGUAAUACUCUUCAGCGGUAAUUCUACAACAUGAUAAAGUACGUUUACCCGGGGGGGGGGGGGGACCCCAGCACCAACACUCUGCCUCUAACGGCGCCUCCGUUUGCGAACAACUUUUAGCAGUCAACAAUCCCCUAUAAACAGUUUUCAGUCAAGAAACUUAACAAUCUCCCUUCAGAAGCUCGCCAUGCUGCAUUUACCCUAAGGGCAGUUUCUAAACCGAGAAUAAAAAUCCCUCCAAGCGUACGAACGCCGAGCGCUCGCGCACGCAGGCGGCGGGGCCUGCAGGCCGCGCGGCACGAAACCUGCCGGGCCUCCCCCAAGCGAGGCCCAGCAACCUCCCGCGGGGCGCCGAGACGCCCCGGCAGCGCCAGGGCAGCACCGCCCCGGGCACCCCCGAGGCCGCGGCCUCGCCGGCCUCCUUCGCCCCCCGCCGCCUACCUGCGCCGCACUCCCCACCUCAGCCAGCGCGCGAAAAGAAGGGGCGCACCCCUGGCGGCCGCUUAUAAAUCCUUGGGCUGUACCACCCCUGCGGCGGGGGGGGGGAGGAGCGUACUAUUGCCCGUGCGCGGGGCGGAAAGUACCAUUGCCUGUGAAGGGCGGGGGGGAGGGAGAGCCGUCCAUUUCCCCUCCGCCUCCGGUGCCGCCUCGGCCCGGGGGGCUCCCGGGGGCAAGGCCGGGCCCGGGGGGCUGGUUAAGAAGGGCUCAAAGUAGCCCCGUGCUUGCCAAAGGCACGGACAUUCAGCCUAGGCCUCACAAGGGGCCGCUCUCUUGUCUCCGGGGCCAAAACACAGUGCGGGGCUCAAGUUUAAAGCCCGAGGCUGMUCCCCGAGCCCCGGCCGGGGCGGCCAAGGCGCCUCCGCAGGCCCUGGGGCAAGAGGAGGGCCAGCACCGUCCUCCUCCUCCUCCUCCUCACGCAGCACGCGUUUCAGUAAAACUGGAUAUGCCACUUAACUUAGCUGCUGUAUUUCUCUUCAAAGAAAAACCCUGGCUUUCAAGCCCUGCAGAGGACGUGGCCCAGUCGGCCUGCCUGGGAGGACAGCUGCCGGAGGGGGCCUGCAACCCCCACAAAGCGCUUUUAUGCGAUAAGUCACCUGAACCACGUUCAAAAAAAAAAAAAGAAAUACAUUUUUAA
rnacentral:lncRNA from 1 species